rnacentral:lncRNA from 1 species
CAAAAAGGAAAUUAAGAAAACAACUUCAUUUAUAAUAGCAUCAAAAAGAAUAAAUACUUAGAAAUAAAAUUAAUACAGACAUGAAAGGCUUAUACACUAAAAACUAAAAAACACUGAUGAAAGACAUUAAAGCAGACACAAAUACAUGCAAAGAUAUCCUGUGUUCAUGGAUUGGAUAAAUUGAUAUUAUUAAAAUAUCCAUACUACCUAAAGUGAUCUACAGAUUUAAUGCAAUCCCUAUCAAAAUCCCAAUGCUAGUUUUUACAGAAAUAGAAACAACAAUCCUAAAAUUUAUAGGAUUUUAGGAACUAUCAAAGGAACUACUAAAGAUCCUAUAUAGCCAAAGCCAUUUUGAGCAAGAAGAACAAAGCUCAAGGCAUCAUACUUCCUUAUUUCAAUAUAGAUUACAAAGCAACAGUAAUCAAAACAGUAUGAUACAGACAUAAAAACAGGCAAAUAUACCAGUGGAACAGAAUAAAAAGCCCAGAAAUAAACUAACCUACACAUAUACAGACACGAAUUCUGAGAAGAGUGCCAAGAACACAUACUGGAAAAAGAGUAGUCUCUUCAAUAAAUGGUGUUGGGAAAAUUGUAUCCGCAUGAAAAAAUAAAAUUAAAUUAAACCCUUAUUUUACAACCUUACAACAUAAACAAAAAUCAAUUCAAAAUGGAUUAAAGACUUAAACAUAAAACCUGAAACUAUAAAACUCCUAAGAGAAAACAUAGGGAAAACCUUCCUGACAUUGGUCUUGGCAAUGAUUUAUUGGACAUGACACCAAAAGCACAAGCAACAAAAGCAAAAAUAGACAAGUUACAUUAAACUAAAAAGCUUCUACGUAGCAAAGGAAAAAAAUCAACAAUAUAAAAAGGCAACUUAUAGAGUGAGAGAAAAUAUUUGCAAACCACAUAUCUGAUAAAGGGUUAAUACCAAAAUAUAUAAGAAACUCAUGCAACUCAAUAGCAAAAUAAUAUUAAUAAUAACCCAAUUUAAAAAAUGGACAAAACAAACUGAAUAGACAUUCCCCACAGAGGACAUACAAAUGGUUAACAGGUACAUGAAAAGGUGUUAAACAUCACUAGUCAUCAGGGAAAUGCAAUUGGAAACCACAAUGAGGUAUCCCCUCACACUUUGUAGAAUGGCUAUUAUCAAAAAACAAAAGAUAAUAAAUGUUUAUGAGGAUGUGGAGAAAAGGAAUCCUUGUACACUGUUGGUGGGAAUGUAAAUUAGCACAGCCAUUAUGGAAAGCAAUAUGGAGGUUUCUUUAAAAAAUUAAACAUAGAACUACUACAUGAUCCAGCAAUCCCACUUCUGGGUGUAUAUCAAAAGGAAUUGAAAUCAGAAGCUUAAAGAUAUAUCUUCAUUGCCAUGUUCAUUGCAGCAUUAUUCACAACAGCCAAGAUAUGGAAUCAACCAAUUGUUCAUUGACAGAAUAAUGGAUAAAGAAAAUAUAGUAUCCACAUACAAUAUUUAGCCUUAAAAAGAAGAAGAAAAUCCUGCCACUUGUGGCAACUUGGAUGAACCUGAAGGAUAUUAUGUUAAGUAAAAUAAGCCAGAUACAGAAGAACAAAUAUUACAUGAUGCCACUUACACGAAGAAUCUAAAAUAGUCAAACUCACAGAAGCAGAAAGUAAAAUGGUGGUUGUCAGGAGACAGAGGAAAGGGAAAAUAGGGAGAUAUUAGUCAAAAGGUACGAAGUUCCUGAUGUACAAAUUGAGUAAGUCCUAGAGAUCUACUGUACCAUAUACUGCCUAUAGUUAAUAUUAUAUUUUAUACUUAAAAGAUGCUGAGGGUGGAUCUUAUGUUGUGUUCUUAUCACACACAUGCAAAUACUAAUAAUAAAUAAAAAGGUGGGAGAAAUUUUACAGGUAAUGGAUAGGUUUAUGUCACAGAUUGUGGUGAUAGUUUCAUGGGAGCAUACUUAUCAAGUUGUACACUUUAAAUAUGUACCACUUUUUACAUGUCAAUCAUACCUCAAUAAAGCUGUUUAAGAAAUAUUGUGUAAGGAAAUAUAUCAAUGUUUGGGAGAUCUGUGUAACUUAGUGAACCAAUAUUUACCAAACAACUAAUUAAUGCAUAAUGUAACAAGUAUUAAAAUUUAUUUCACAUGGUUUCAGAAUUUACAUUGGGAAACAUCUUUAAGAAAUUACUAUUUGUCAGUAUUGGUGUGGAAGCAAAAAAAAGAAUAUACAUAAUUAUGUAAAAAGGCUAUAAAAAUAUUUCUUCUUUUUCCAACUAUGUAUCUGCGUGAAGCCAGAUUUUCUUCAAAUAUGUCAAUUAAGACUACGUAUCACAACAGAUUGAAUGCUGAAGUGGACAGAAAAACCCACUGUCUUUCUUUAAAUCAGAAAACUACCUUGGACUACGAGGGUGUGGGGUGAGCCAGCCAUUACCCCCACCCUGAAGCCUGUCCCCCUUUUCUUCUCCAUGGACUACAAGGGGUCUUGAGGGCAUGCAGGUGAACACCCAGAUCACAAGUCCAAGCAGAUACCCACCUGCUGCAAACAGCUACCUAUUGGCCACCUUUUGGGCCUAGGGGUAUGCAUAUCUACAGCGACAUCCACUUUCAGAAGGACAGACACUUUGAAGAAACCUAUGUAGGCCCUGGAGGCAGGAUUUGGACCAUUUGGGCAAGAAAUCCAGGGUUCCAGGUACUCAUGGCUUGGUCAAAAUAGAAGGUUCCAGCUGGGCCCUUCUCUACCUUGUAGAUUCUCCAUUCCCAGAGGAACAUAGUCAGAAAAGGGCCAUAGUGGAGCCCUUUGAAUCAACAAAAGACCUCUUCCCUCUGUUUCUUGGGUCUAAAGGCAGUACUCUGUCAAAUCCUUUAUCAACUCUGAACCACAGUUUUCUCUCUAUAAACUCAGAUGGUCAGAAUAAAUUCAAUCUCAUACCAAUCCUUCAAGAGUCUGUCUUGUUCCUAACCCAAGGAAGGUAGCAUUAAGUUCUUGCUGAGUAAUCAAAACUAAUUUGUAAAGCAUAAAACCCUCUAAAAAUUGGAUACAUUAAGUGAGCUUGAUAGAAGGGAACCCUUUCCUUCCCAACAGUAAACUAAAAUGGGGAACUCUAAAGCCACUCUAACUCUUCCUUUUUACUAAUCUUAAAUUCCAGAUAUUAAUGAGAAAGAGUUCGUCCUUCCCGUAACGUUUUCUCUAAAGGAAAAAGAAGAUCUGAUAGGGUUAAGUGACUUCUCCAGGGCUCCACAGUGGCAAGUGGCAAAGGCGGGGUUAGGAGACCAGACUUCUGACUUUACGGGGCUAUGCCUGUGUUUCAUGCUGCUUCCCCCUAGUCUGAUAUUGUAAAGGAGUCACCAAAUCUAUGUCUCCAGCUGAGAUGAGAAGAAAUUGGAUUUCCUGAGAAUCAUGAUAGCUGCCUCUUACUAAACCCUGGCUAUGCUCAGGCACCAUUCCAAGAACUUUAAGUAUAUGAUCUCUAACAAUAACAACCUGGCAAUGUAAGUAUUGUUAUUCUCUUCUUACAUAUGUGACAAUGACAAUUCAGAGUUGUUAGGUAACUAUUCCAAUUAUAAACUUCAAUAAAUGUCAAUAUGUGUGUGUGUGUACACAUAUAUGUAUACACAUACAUAUAUACACAUAUAUGCACACACAUACAUAUAUACAUAUAUGCACACACAUACAUAUAUACAUAUAUGCACACACAUACAUAUAUACACAUAUAUGUGCACACACAUACAUAUAUACACAUAUAUGUGUACACACAUACAUAUAUACACAUAUAUGUGUACACACAUGCAUAUAUACACACAUAUAUGUGUACACACAUGCAUAUAUACACACAUAUAUGUGUACACACAUGCAUAUAUACACACAUAUAUGUGUACACACAUGCAUAUAUACACACAUAUAUGUGUACACACAUGCACAUAUAUACACAUAUAUGUGUACACACAUGCCCAUAUAUACACAUAUAUGUGUACACACAUGCAUAUAUAUACACAUAUAUGUGUACACACAUGCAUAUAUAUACACAUAUAUGUGUGCACACAUGCAUAUAUAUACACAUAUAUGUGUGCACACAUACAUAUAUUUAUAUAUUCCUGCCUAUGUUCAUGUAAAAUUGUGACAAGAUUCCACCAAAUUGCCCUUCAAAAAGGAUUGCACAAAAUCGAUUGUGACUUUUCCC